UUGGGAAUAUUGCACAAUGGGCUCAAGCCUGAUGCAGCAAUCCCGCGUGAGUGAUGAAGGUCUUCGGAUCGUAAAGCUCUUUUAGCAGGGACGAAGGGUAACUUGACGGUACCUGCAGAAAAAGCACCGGCUAACUACGUGCCAGCAGCCGCGGUAAUACGUAGGGUGCAAGCGUUGUUCGGAAUCAUUGGGCGUAAAGCGCGUGUAGGCGGUUGGCUAAGUCCGGUGUGAAAUCCCGGGGCUUAACUCCGGAAGUGCAUUGGAUACUGGCCAGCUAGAGGACGGGAGAGGAAAGCGGAAUUCCUGGUGUAGGGGUGAAAUCCGUAGAUAUCAGGAGGAAUGCCGGAGGCGAAGGCGGCUUUCUGGUCCGUUUCUGACGCUGAGACGCGAAAGCGUGGGUAGCAAACA
rnacentral:rRNA from 1 species